GACCGUCAGAUUGAAAAUCAACAUGGUCGCUUAUGUUGGCUUCCGGUGAUUCAUACAGAGGAAGAUUAAAGAAGAAAUGAUGCUGGUUUAUUGUCCUGUCACAAAGGAAGUAUUUUAAGCAACAACAUGUCAAGUGACCAGAAAAUAAAGGAGUGGAAGCAGAAAGUGAAAGACAAGUGGAAGUAUGAAAAGACACAGGUUAUUUAUGAGGACAAAGAUGGCGCUCAGGUGACACCAAUUCCUUCCACCACAUCCACUACAACAAGAACUCCAGGACCAGAUGUGACGACCAAACAGACCCCUGGGACAUCAUCUCCGUCUGUGGUAACCGUUGAUAUCACAACCAAGGGUCCACACACUGGUGAGGUGAUCACUGCAGACACCAGCACCCUGAUCAAGACAGUGGGAAUUACAUGCGGGGCGUUGAUAGUCCUCAUACUCCUUAUUGUCAUCUGCAUCUGCUGCUGCAGACGAUCGGCUGCCAAGAGGAACAGGAGGAUGACAGUACGGAGACCUCUGAAUCCUGCAGAACCCGAGGUGGACCAUAUCUAUGCUGAAAUAGAACCUCUACAGAGAUCCACUGGCUCCAGUGGGGCAUCAGGUACAUCAGACGAUGUUCGAUUGCCAAAGAAAAAGGGGAAGGGACGUAAGUCUGGUGUCUCAAGCUUUCGAUACGUAACAACGCGCAUUGCUAAGUUCUUCUCAGUUGAUGAAGACGAGGGUGUUGAUGAUCAGACGGUGAGUUACAAUCGCAGUGGCCAUAAAGAGUCAGCCAGCUUUGGGCCGCCAGUACCGCCGGAUCGAAAUGGGCGAUCAACCAAGAAAAGCAGGAACGCUGUUUCCCGCGGGGAAUCAACUGCAUCCCGACGGCACCUUUUAGAUGGUGAUUCUGUUGAACGCAGGUCCCAUGUGUAUAAUCCACUAACGAGGGAGGAGAAAGGGAGACAAUCUGGCCCAUAUGACAGACUGGCAAUAAGCAGAGAGUUACCGUCGGAUGAGGUCGAAGAGCCGAGUUCACCUCAUGAUUAUUUCAUGCUGAACAAAGAAGGGAAAGUUAGCGAUCCUGAGGAAUACCACGCGCAUUCUGUGGACACAGUAAAAGAGGAUAUCGAAGAUGAUCUUGAAAUAAUUGAUGAGGAAAAUAAGGAUACUGUAGGAGAAAGGGUUUCGAAACAUGACUAUUUUGUUUUGGAGCCGCAUGAGAAAGAAGAGGAGACUUUCGUAGGAAAAUGUGCUGAUGUGGAUCAAUCUGGUAAAAGAGGUGAAAGUGGUAGUGUAAGAUCUAAUUCAAAUGGUUCACCUACAAAGACUGUGGGGAGUGGUGGUGGUGUAGGGGAUGGAAGGCCCGAGGCAAAGCCAAGAGUUUCAAAGCAGACUAGUGAACAUGUGCUGAGUGGAUCUUUGCCCCGCUCACCUGUAAAAGUUGAUAAAAAGUCAGAAUUUACAGACAAAACUCCUAAUGGUGACAAUAUUGUAAGGAUGUCAAGUGUUGAUGAGACGUAUGUUUUGUCUAAACUGGGUGAAGCACCCCUACCACCCCCAGGGUUGGCAGCUGGGUCUGUAAUUGGGUCAGAGGGGUGUGAGGCUGGAACAGAUGACUACUUGGUACCUAAAGACAUACCCCACCCAGAUUAUUUAGAUGUUUUCCCUGCCCCGCCAUUGCGCACUCAUUCCUUACCUUUGAAAGACGUAGAUGUUAAAAAUCCUUCCAUGGAGGUAGCUCCUACUAAUUACAUCAAUUCAACUACAAAGCAUCCAAAGGUCCCUGUUGGCAAUUAUGAGCCAUUAAAUAGACACAACAUAAAUACUUCUCCAACAAAACACCACAAGUCAUCAAGUAAACAACCCAAAUCCCCAAGUAGAGACUCAAAAUCCCCUGUAAGACAUAAGACGACACCAGACACUGAGUCACCAAAAACCAUCAAAGACACUGUCCAGAAAAAGGAAUCUAUCAUAACAGAUAUUUAGAUAUGUUUAAAGUGUUGAAAAGUCAUGGUGGACAAAACAAUCUUUAUUUUAUUUUUAAUUAGUCUUUUCCUUAAUCUCAUUUCAGUCUAACUGAAUUAGUGCAUACAUUUUUAGAUAUUUAGAUAUUUUCCCCAUUCUGCUAUAAAGUUUACACCCUUGAGGGGAUAUUAUAAUUUUUACUCUGCAUUUAAAAUGUAUUAUAUUUGUAAAACUAUCUUUGUACAGUGUGUGUUGUUAUUACGAAUGACUGGGGAACCAAUUAUUGUAUUUCUAAAACUUGUAAUUAAAUAUUCAUCAAGGACAAAUAUAAGGGAAUAUUUUUAUGUCCCCCACUAUAGUAGUGGGGGACAUAUUGUUAUUGCCCUGUCUGUUGGUUGGUUGGUUGGUUUGCGCCAACUUUAACAUUUGCAAUAACUUUUGCAAUAUUGAAGAUAGCAACUUGAUAUUUGGCAUGCAUAUGUAUCUCAUGGAGCUGCACAUUUUGAGUGGUGAAAAGUCAAGGUCAAGGUCAUCCUUCAAGGUCAAAGGUCAAAUAUAUGGGUCAAAAUCGCUCAUUUAAUGUACACUUUUGCAGUAUUUCAAUAUUCAAGAUAGCAACUUGAUAUUUGGCAUGCAUGUGUAUCUCAUGCAGCUGCACAUUUUGAGUGGUGAAAGGUCAAGGUCAAGGUCAUCCUUCAAGGUCAGAUGUCAAAUAUAUGUGGCCAAAAUCGCUCAUUUUAUGAGUACUUUUGCAAUAUUGAAGAUAGCAACUUGAUAUUUGGCAUGCAUGUGUAUCUCAUGGAGCUGCACAUUUUGAGUGGUGAAAGGUCAAGGUCAAGGUCAUCCUUCAAGGUCAGAUGUCAAAUAUAUGUGGCCCAAAUCGCUAAUUUUAUGAAUACUUUUGCAAUAUUGAAGAUAGCAACUUGAUAUUUGGCAUGCAUGUGUAUCUCAUGGAGCUGCACAUUUUUAGUGGUGAAAGGUCAAGGUCAAGGUCAUCCUUCAAGGUCAAAUAUAUGGGUCAAAAUUGCUCAUGUAAUGUCACUUCUGCAAUAUUGAAGCUAGCAAUUUUAUAUUUGAAAUGCAUGUGUAUCUCAUGGAGCUGCACAUUUUGAGUGGUGAAGGGUCAAGGUCAUCCUUCAAGGUCAAACGUCAUAUAGGGGGACAUUGUGUUUCACAAACACAUCUUGUAUUGCUUGGCAAUAGUCUUGUUGUAAUUUUAUCUAAAUAUUGGAUAUACGUACAAAUCUGUUUAUUGAUGCAAUGUCUCAGUGCACAUACAUAUUUCAUGAUAAAAGCUCUUACAAAAACUAAUGUGUAAACAAAUUGUUGAAGAAACAACUCAAGUGACAGGACUGAGUUAAAUUUAAAUAUAAGUUUGAAAUAAUGUUUUGUGUUACGUAAAAAUAAUUAAGAAUGUCCGUGGUGAAUAAAAUUUAUUAUUUUGAAGAAGUUUUGUAUCCCUAUUUACUAGUAACAGCUCAAUCAUUGUACAAUCAUCGUACUUUUGGAAUAUAAAAUUAGUUUUAAUUACGGUAUAUUUUAUCUGCUUUUUAAGAAUUGUACAUAAUUAUAAUCUAUGUCGUACUCGGUGUAAAGAAAUACUGGAUAUGCCUUAAAUAUUGUGAUUUAUACAUUGUAAGAUGUGUCUACAAGUAUAUUAAUAGAACUGUGGUAUUUCUAUUUAAUUAACUGGUAUGUGUAUUCACCCUUUUCUUGUAUACUACUUCUUUUGUGUUAUUGUAAAAUAGUGAUAUUGAUUAUCUUAUAUAUUUUGUAAAUACAGAACUUAGAAAUUUGCAGAUUGUUCACAGUAUUUUUUAUUGACGUUAAAGCAUGA